AAAUAGAAGAAAUAAGCCAGGGGUGGUGGCACACAUCUGUAAUCCCAGCAUUUGGGAGGCUGAGGCAAGAGGACUGCUGCAAGUUCAAGGCCAGCCUGGGCAACAUAGUGAGACCCUGUCACAAAAAAAAGAAGAAAAAGAAAAAAAGAAAAAGAAGCAAUAUAAAUCUUCUGUGACUAUGCUAAGGGAUCCUUAUAACUACAAAAAGUAAGCUGCAUGCCAAUGAUUAACUGAAGUGGAAACUGCUGCCGCCGGGAGACGGCAGCACCCGAAGGUGGGGAGGCGCCUUGCCCUGGCUCUGCGGCGGGGCUGGGCGUCUCGCUGCCCUUCCGGGGACCUGCGGGACACAGCCUCUUCGUGUCACCCUCGGGCCUCGUGGUCUGGAAAGGGCUUCUCAGAGCCAGCAGCGGGAAGGCGGCGGCGCGCGGGGAGAGGAGCCGCGUUCGACGCAGGCGCUUCCCGUGGCGGACGCCGUGUCUCCGGCUCAGUGCGAGGCCGUCUCCGGGGUCCGCGGCCAGGGCUUGGCCCCGGGUAAAAUGCGGUGACCUCGGGCAAACACGUGCUCUACGUGCUGUUUAUUUUCUUCGUUCUCACUUUGCCUUCUCCUCCUAGGCCUCCGUCACACUCCUCCUCCUCGCGCCCUCCUCCUCUCUCUUCUGCCCCUGAACUUGCCUGAUGGUGAUGAGCAUUUCUUGGGGCUCGGCCCCGGGACGCACACAGUCCAUCCUCCGCCGUGCACCGCCCGCUGAGCCCUGGAAGUGGCCGCCGGUGAGCACACGGAAACCGCGCCUUUGGAUACCGGAAGUUCUCUGAGUGAGCCUGGCAAGCAGAGACAGCCGACUGCCACAGCCAGAGAUACUCGACCUGCGGAGGGAAACUUGUUAUUCUUGGAGAGAAGGAAGAUGAAACUGUCGGUUUUUCACACCGUGGAAGCUGUGGAUAACAUCAGUGAACGAACCCAUUUGCCGUCUGUGGCUGGAAGCCCGACGUUCUGUGGAAGCUGGAAUUACUUGGGUGCGGCAGUGGUUUGGAGCCCUGCUUCGGACGUGUACUACAACUUUUCAGUCUCAGAGCCUCGGAGUGAGAAAAUUCACAGGACUUCCUCUCCGGUGCAGCUGCCACGCACUCCUUGCCAUGGCACCUUGUGGACGCCUUCCUUUGUGCCUUUCUGCGCUUCUGUCCGCGGUGAAGAAGAAGCUAAAGGGGAAAUGGGCACUGACGGUGGCUCCCAGAGCUUCCGUUCCUCCCGGGAAGAGCAAACCUGUCAGGAAAAUGCGCGGUGCCGCUGGCCACGGGGGACGACGUGGGGAGCAGCCUCGGCUCCUGCUCCUUGCGUCCAGACGGCCAAAUUCUUUGUGCCAUUUGAAGAAUGUGGAGCCUGUGUCUAUGACAGAACAAAGGGGAGAAAACAAAUGUAGUAAAUUUCCAAAUUAUCCUUUUCAGACUCAUUGAAGAAAAUGAUGUUUUACACGAGGUAAACGUACUUCUGCAGCUGUAUGUCCAGAAUAUCUUAAAAUAAAAUUUGAAAAUUCUCCAAACAGAGGGAUUUCAUUUUACCCAGCCUUUAAGUUCGCAUGGGUCCUGAACGUAUUUCUCCGGUGGAACGACACUGAAGCAGCACUGCUUCAGCCCUGGCAAGGGACACGGCUGGCUGAUUUGAGUUUUACGGAUUGAAUCAAAAAUUCUUAGUGAGAAACAUGAGUGAAUUACAAACAACAAGGUGAAAAUUGAAGACUAGUAGCUCAGCAGGAGCUGUAGAUUUGAG
rnacentral:lncRNA from 1 species